UACGUAGGCAGCGAGCGUUGUUCGGAGUUACUGGGCGUAAAGGGUGUGUAGGCGGUUGUUUAAGUUUGGUGUGAAAUCUCCCGGCUCAACUGGGAGGGUGCGCCGAAUACUGAAUGACUUCGAGUGCGGGAGAGGAGAGUGGAAUUCCUGGUGUAGCGGUGAAAUGCGUAGAUAUCAGGAGGAACACCGGUGGUGUAGACGGCUCUCUGGACCGUAACUGACGCUGAGACACGAAAGCGUGGGUAGCAAACAGG
rnacentral:rRNA from 1 species